GAGGAGUUGGUGCAGUGGUAGCAUACCCGGUUAACCCUUGGCCACCAGCGAGCGAUCUAUUAUUAACGCCGUAUGGGGGUGAGGUCGGGAGACGGAGCGUUCGAUUCCUCCACUCCUCA